rnacentral:rRNA from 1 species
AGUAACACGUGAGCAACCUGCCUUCAAGAGGGGGAUAGCACCUGGAAACGGGUGGUAAUACCGCAUAAGACCACAGUGCCGCAUGGCACAGAGGUCAAAGGAGCAAUCCGCUUGAAGAUGGGCUCGCGUCCGAUUAGACAGUUGGUGAGGUAACGGCUCACCAAGUCGACGAUCGGUAGCCGGACUGAGAGGUUGAACGGCCACAUUGGGACUGAGACACGGCCCAGACUCCUACGGGAGGCAGCAUG